GGAUAAGUAAAUACGAUCGUAAAAAUAGUCAGGAUGUGCUCCAGGUCGAGCGAUUGCCAUCUUGGAAGACGUUCCCCGCCUCUCAUCGGAACUGAAACAGUUGGUGUAAAUUUAUUCGCUGUUGGCCCAUCAUUGCUUUUCUGAUCAUUUUGAAAUGCAGUGACUAAUAAAAGUCCAGUGCUGGAUGCCUGACACUUAGGCUGCUGUACUUUCACCCAGGUGCUGUGUUGAAACAAAGUGGGGCAAAGCUGAUGUCUGUAUACUGAACCAGCAGGCUGCGAUGGAGAGCUGUGAAGUGAUUUUCAACUACUUGUUCAGUGAUACAACAGGAGUCGUGGUGGCAAACGAAGUCAGGGAGCACAGGCGAAGCAGGCCGCUAGUGCUGUGCACCAGGCAUAUGGUACACGCUCAAGUCACAUCUCCAGGAUGCUGAGAAGACGUUUACGUCACUAGCAACAACACAAAUACAACAGACAAACGAAAUGUCAAUUUUCCACUGACCACCUAUCAGGUCAGUAGAUGGCUUGGUGCCAGCCGGGUGCGAGAGGCAGACACCUCCUGUGCUUGUGGGCAGGAUCCGAGCUGCUACAGUGUUUUUGGAGGAUGACUUUGGGAACGUGUGAAAAUAAAUAGUAUCAACCUUAAGCAAAUAACUCCAUCUUGAAACACUGACUUAAGGGGAUAAUAAUGAAUAUUUGUGAACACAUAUGUAAUACCUUCAAGCUAAUUAAAUAGCUAGUAGCAGAGAAAAAAAUAAAUGAAUUAUGAUAAAUUUAUCAGCGGGAUACUAUACAGUCACUAAUGUGUUUACAGAUGCAGAGUAUUUUUAAGGAAGUGGUAAUGACCAUGUCUUUAUUACACGUAUGCUAUUGAGGAAGACGCGUAUUUCACAGUAGAAUGCCUUUUCUAAGUACAGGAGCAGGUUCCUAGAGGCGGCCCUGAUAAUAAUUGAAAGGACACAUGCAAUAUUCAACAGAAAUAAAAUGCCAAUCAAAACUCCUUUUACUGGAGUUGAAUAAGUAAUACCCGUCUGGGCAAAGAGUGUAGAUAUAUAUUACUAUUUGGGUAAUGAUCUGAUUGUUAAAACUCUCUUCUAACUUUUCUCUACCAAUGUCAACUUAAAAAGUAGAUGUAGACACCGGAAAACUAUAUGGUCGCGAAAUGCAUUAUUACUGCUUUAGAGCUGUUGACGUUUCACUUUGUCUUCUCAGUAAAUUUUAAAAUAAAAAUGGCAUCAGAUAUAUUUUACAAGUUAAACUUGAA